AGAGUUUGAUCAUGGCUCAGGACGAACGCUGGCGGCGUGCUUAACACAUGCAAGUCUACGAGAAAGUUUCUUUCGGGAAGCGAUUAAAGUGGCGCACGGGUGAGUAACACGUAAGCAAUCUACCCUUAGAUUUGGAAUAACUCCGAGAAAUCGGAGCUAAUACCGGAUGAUGCAGCGGCACCGCAUGGUGAUGUUGUUAAAGUUGCUUCGGUAACGUCUGAGGAUGAGCUUGCGGCUGAUUAGCUAGUUGGUAGGGUAACGGCCUACCAAGGCAACGAUCAGUAGCUGGUCUGAGAGGAUGAUCAGCCACACUGGAACUGAGACACGGUCCAGACUCCUACGGGAGGCAGCAGUGAGGAAUAUUGGGCAAUGCCCGCAAGGGUGACCCAGCAACGCCGCGUGGAGGAUGAAUGUCGUAAGAUUGUAAACUCCUGUUAGAGGGGAAGAACAGCCGUGAUUCGCAAGGGUCAUGGUUUGACUGUACCCUCAGAGAAAGCCCCGGCUAACUACGU
rnacentral:rRNA from 1 species